rnacentral:ncRNA from 19 species
AAAUAUGCUUGUUUUCAACUUAAUUUUCAUAUUUAUUUCAAGUGUUUAACGUUCUUUUUUUGGGGGCAGAUGCGUAAGUUUGUUAAGAGAACCGCAAUUUGUGGAUCGCUCUUAUUGAUAGCGAUUUUUAUGAUGAAUAGUUGGAGCGGUAUUCAGAGCGGGCAUAACGCAUUUCGUCCAGUCUCAAAAUCAAAACCAGCAUCGAGUGAGACUUGUAAAGAGUAUAACGAAAAGGGUUUUAUCGGAAAAUUGUUUGAUUUUUCUGCACGUGGUUGGUGCGAUUGAUUAAAGAGGCUUCGGCCUCUUUUUUUGACGCU